UACAGAGGGUGCGAGCGUUGUUCGGAAUUAUUGGGCGUAAAGGGCGCGUAGGCGGUGCGGUAAGUCACCUGUGAAAUCUUCUGGCUCAACUGGAGCUUGCAGGCGAAACUGCCGUGCUGGAGUGUGGGAGAGGUGCGUGGAAUUCCUGGUGUAGCGGUGAAAUGCGUAGAUAUCAGGAGGAACACCUGUGGCGAAGGCGCGAUCUGGGAAGAUACUGACGCUGAGGUGCGAAAGCGUGGGGGAGCAAACAGG
rnacentral:rRNA from 1 species